rnacentral:lncRNA from 1 species
CCGGGUUCCCUUCUAAAACCGAUUGUGGUUGCUUCUAGUAAAAUUACUUCUUUACCAAAAAGUGAUGUAGUGCUCCCCAAGAUUAUCGUUGCACCUGCACCAUGCAGUAUGGAUGUUUCUCCUGAUCAAUCAGAUGGACUAUCAAUUUCAAUGGAUGAAUCUAUGUCUACUUGUGAUUCCUUGAAUAGUCCAAAAGUAGAAUACAUAGAUAACAAUGAAAUAGCAGCAGUCGAUUCCAUCGAGAGAAAGACAUUCAACAAGCUUUGCAUCUCAGAAUGCGUUGAAGUAGCAGGUAGUUCAUUGUUAUCUGCACCUGCACCAUGCAGUAUGGAUGUUUCUCCUGAUCAAUCAGAUGGACUAUCAAUUUCAAUGGAUGAAUCUAUGUCUACUUGUGAUUCCUUGAAUAGUCCAAAAGUAGAAUACAUAGAUAACAAUGAAAUAGCAGCAGUCGAUUCCAUCGAGAGAAAGACAUUCAACAAGCUUUGCAUCUCAGAAUGCGUUGAAGUAGCAG